rnacentral:rRNA from 1 species
UUUACGACUCUCGACAACAGAUAUCUUGGCUCUCGCAUCGAUGAAGAACGCAGCGAAAUGCGAUACUUGGUGUGAAUUGCAGAAUCCCGUGAACCAUCGAGUCUUUGAACGCAAGUUGCGCCCGAGGCUAUCCGGCCGAGGGCACGCCUGCCUG